rnacentral:rRNA from 1 species
UACGUAGGGGGCAAGCGUUGUCCGGAUUUAUUGGGCGUAAAGAGCGUGUAGGCGGCCACACAGGUCUGCUGUGAAAACUCGAGGCUCAACCUCGAGCUGUCGGUGGAAACCGUGUGGCUAGAGUCCGGAAGAGGAGAGUGGAAUUCCCGGUGUAGCGGUGAAAUGCGCAGAUAUCGGGAGGAACACCGGUGGCGAAGGCGGAUCUCUGGGCCAUUACUGACGCUGAGGAGCGAAAGCGUGGGGAGCGAACAGG